rnacentral:miRNA from 1 species
AAUGAGAGUGAAGAUGGGGAUUGAGGGAAGAUGAGAGGGGAUGACGAGAGAAAGAAGUAACAAAAGUGAAAACUAAAACUAAAAACUGAAAUCUAUUUGAAAUUGUUUUCACUUUCAAGUUUUUGUUUUCACUUUUGUUACUCCUCCUCUCUAUCCUCCUCUCUCAUCCUCUCU